rnacentral:rRNA from 1 species
UACGUAGGGUGCGAGCGUUGUCCGGAAUUAUUGGGCGUAAAGAGCUCGUAGGCGGUCUGUCGCGUCUGGUGUGAAAAUCCAGGGCUUAACCCUGGACCUGCAUCGGGUACGGGCAGACUAGAGUGCGGUAGGGGAGAUCGGAAUUCCUGGUGUAGCGGUGAAAUGCGCAGAUAUCAGGAGGAACACCGGUGGCGAAGGCGGAUCUCUGGGCCGUAACUGACGCUGAGACACGAAAGCGUGGGUAGCAAACAGG